AAGAAGACAACCACGACGACGAUAACGAUGACGACAAUGACACCUGUGGCAAUAUUGGCUUGAAGCAGCAGAGGUGAGAGAAGCAAGCUGCUUAGAGAGUGAGCCACAUGUAUUGAUAGCUCAUGACAGGAGCAGAAAAUGAGCCUUCUCUGUGAUGUAUGCCAUUCUAGCAUCCAUAAAGUUCAGGAUUCUGACCCGAUGAUGGUGAUUAUAAUGACAAUGACAUGGUAACAACAGCAACAAUGAUUAUAACAAGAAGAUACCCCAGAAUUGUAACAACUGGAAGCAAAUAAUUCAAAAACAAUACCAAUGUGGGUAAUGGGGCCUAGUAGAUUAUCACUUGGAAUUUAUAAUAGCAGGUAUAUUAUGUUGAGAUAUGGCAAUCAGAGGCUUGGCUCGAGUUCAGCAUAAAUUCCAUGCAGCUUCCAGAGAGAAACCAAAAACACAAAUAGUGGUACCAUUAGAAAAUAUUUAAUAAAUAUCCUCUAACAUAGCAUUCAGAUAGACACUGUGCAUAAAAUUCAGAUAGACAGUACUGAUCGCCUUCAGUUUUUUAAACUUUUCUUACUCAUAGAACAGUGUAUUAUCAUAUAUAAAUAUGAAGGACAGCAAUAAAUCUGUUCUUAGUCUAACCUCAGCACCAUCACAUAAUGUCAGAAACAUUAAAAGAAAAUGCAAAUAUCCAAAGGCUAGGAGAAUUGUAAUUUGAAAUAAGUAAAGGGUUCUAUAAAACAAAUUGCUUCUGACAAAACCAAUUGCAGUUUUGAUAGAAUUAUGAAAUGACUCCCUUAUGGGAUGGCAGUUAUAUUUGAACAUUAUCAAAUCAUUUGGCAAUUUCUCAUGCAAUUUAAAUAAAGCAAGUUAGACUUAAACUUGAGCAAUCACAAAAUAAAAUGAUUCAAUGAAAACUGGCUGAGGGUCUGUAGAUAAAGAGGUCAUAAUAACAACAAUAUGACAAUAUGUGAAGCUCCGAAUGAAGCUUUCGUGGGACGGCUCUUUCCAUGUUUAAAAUCUUAAACAAUGAGUGAUGGAGUAACAAUAUACAAAUAUAAAAUGUUGUAUUAGGUUCUUUUCAGAAAAGGCUAUAAAUAUAAGGAAAAGGAACAAUGGAAAGAAACUCAGAGAAGUUAAAAAAAUUGCAGCAGGAAAUAAAAACUUGCCCUUUAGGUUGCAAAAUUCAAUGUAAAUUAUGUGGUAUAAAGUAUUAUGACUCAUAGGAUUUAUUAAGAAUAUAUGGUAAUGCCUAAAAGGGAUAUUUGGAUAAUGGCAGACAAGAUAUUUGAAAUAAAUUCAUGAUUACAGUUUUUCUUUGCAUCCUAACUCCCUCAAAGAGCGUUCAAUCUGUAUAGAUUGUAAAAUAGGAAAAACCAGGAACUAGAAACUAAAAUAUUAACUGAAUGAUAAUAGAAUUAUAACAUGUAAAUAAUGGUUGUGUUUACAUUAAUAAAGAAAACCAGAUUUAAUUUUC